GACGGAGGAUGCGAGUGUUAUCCGGAAUCACUGGGCGUAAAGCGCACGUAGGCGGAUUGCUAAGUCAGGGGUGAAAUCCUGGAGCUCAACUCCAGAACUGCCUUUGAUACUGGCGACCUUGAGUCCGGGAGAGGUGAGUGGAACUGCGAGUGUAGAGGUGAAAUUCGUAGAUAUUCGCAAGAACACCAGUGGCGAAGGCGGCUCACUGGCCCGGUACUGACGCUGAGGUGCGAAAGCGUGGGGAGCAAACAGG
rnacentral:rRNA from 1 species